CACCCGUGUCUAUCGUACCUUGUUGCUUCGGCGGGCCCGCCGUUUCGACGGCCGCCGGGGAGGCCUUGCGCCCCCGGGCCCGCGCCCGCCGAAGACCCCAACAUGAACGCUGUUCUGAAAGUAUGCAGUCUGAGUUGAUUAUCGUAAUCAGUUAAAACUUUCAACAACGGAUCUCUUGGUUCCGGCAUCGAUGAAGAACGCAGCGAAAUGCGAUAAGUAAUGUGAAUUGCAGAAUUCAGUGAAUCAUCGAGUCUUUGAACGCACAUUGCGCCCCCUGGUAUUCCGGGGGGCAUGCCUGUCCGAGCGUCAUUGCUGCCCUCAAGCACGGCUUGUGUGUUGGGCCCCCGUCCCCCUCUCCCGGGGGACGGGCCCGAAAGGCAGCGGCGGCACCGCGUCCGGUCCUCGAGCGUAUGGGGCUUUGUCACCUGCUCUGUAGGCCCGGCCGGCGCCAGCCGACACCCAACUUUAUUUUUCUAAGGUUGACCUCGGAUCAGGUAGGGAUACCCGCUGAACUUAAGCAUAUC
rnacentral:rRNA from 2 species